CGCUGAGGGAGACGGCUCGGUGUAACCUCUCAGCAGGGAGAAGCGAAAGGACGGACUGCAGAGAGGCGGCAAUACGUGCCAGCAGCGCGGUAAUAGUAGGGCGCAGCGUGUCGGGAAUUAUGGGCGUAAAGAGCUGUGGCGGCUGUCAGUGGGUUGUGAAAGCCCGGGGUUUAACCCCGGGUCGCGCGAUACGGGCAGGCGAGAGUUCGGUAGGGGAGAUCGGAAUUCCUGGUGAGCGGUGAAAUGCGCAGAUAUCAGGAGGAACACCGGUGGCGAAGGCGGAUCUCUGGGCCGAUACUGACGUGAGGAGCGAAAGCGUGGGGAGCGAACAGGAUAGAUACCCUGGUAGUCCACGCCGUAAACGGUGGGCACUAGGUGUGGGCAACAUUCCACGUUGUCCGUGCCGCAGCUAACGCAUUAAGUGCCCCGCCUGGGGAGUACGGCCGCAAGGCUAAAACUCAAAGGAAUUGACGGGGGCCCGCACAAGCGGCGGAGCAUGUGGCUUAAUUCGACGCAACGCGAAGAACCUUACCAAGGCUUGACAUACACCGGAAACGUCUGGAGACAGGCGCCCCCUUGUGGUCGGUGUACAGGUGGUGCAUGGCGUCGUCAGCUCGUGUCGUGAGAUGUUGGGUUAAGUCCCGCAACGAGCGCAACCCUUGUCCCGUGUUGCCAGCAGGCCCUUGUGGUGCUGGGGACUCACGGGAGACCGCCGGGGUCAACUCGGAGGAAGGUGGGGACGACGUCAAGUCAUCAUGCCCCUUAUGUCUUGGGCUGCACACGUGCUACAAUGGCCGGUACAAUGAGCUGCGAUACCGCGAGGUGGAGCGAAUCUCUAAAAAGCCGGUCUCUAGUUCGGAUUGGGGUCUGCUAUAGCUU
rnacentral:rRNA from 1 species